CUCUAUAUACCUUUUGCAGUUUCAUGCCGAACAACUGAAAUGGGUUCUCUCUUCUCCAUCAGGUUUCUUAUUGUCCUUGCCCUAGUGCCUUCCAUCCUCAUAUUUGUGCAUGCAGCUGAGAGUCAAGCGGUGAAGUCGAGGAGAGAACUUGGCAGCAAACCCUUGCCAAGCCCACCCCCUCCUCCAAUUCCUCACAAGUGGAAAAAUCAGAUUGCACUGCAGCCGCCGCCGCCUGCUCCAGCACGUAACAGAUUUCUAUAGUCUAUAGAUUAGCAUUUGCAAUAAGACUUAUGCUAUGUUUAGUUGAAAUCUAUAAAAAAGUUAAAUUUAUUUUAUUUGAGAAAAAGAUAGGAAAGAAAAUAAAAUAAAAAUAAUAAAGUUAAAAAAAAUAUUUUAGUAUUAUAAAAUUCAUUGUCUUACUAA